rnacentral:rRNA from 1 species
AUUGAACGCUGGCGGCAGGCCUAACACAUGCAAGUCGAGCGGAUGAAGGGAGCUUGCUCCUGGAUUCAGCGGCGGACGGGUGAGUAAUGCCUAGGAAUCUGCCUGGUAGUGGGGGAUAACGUCCGGAAACGGGCGCUAAUACCGCAUACGUCCUGAGGGAGAAAGUGGGGGAUCUUCGGACCUCACGCUAUCAGAUGAGCCUAGGUCGGAUUAGCUAGUUGGUGGGGUGAAGGCCUACCAAGGCGACGAUCCGUAACUGGUCUGAGAGGAUGAUCAGUCACACUGGAACUGAGACACGGUCCAGACUCCUACGGGAGGCAGCAGUGGGGAAUAUUGGACAAUGGGCGAAAGCCUGAUCCAGCAAUGCCGCGUGUGUGAAGAAGGUCUUCGGAUUGUAAAGCACUUUAAGUUGGGAGGAAGGGCAGUAAGUUAAUACCUUGCUGUUUUGACGUUACCAACAGAAUAAGCACCGGCUAACUUCGUG